ensembl:lncRNA LINC00343 long intergenic non-protein coding RNA 343
GUGUUCACUGGGCAAAGGGAACAAAGAGGCACUUGGCUCACCCUAGAUCAAGAGGAGAGGCUCUCCAGAUUUGCUGACCUAGAAGGAUAAGUCUGAAAUACCCUUGGCUGUGUACAUUUGAGUAAAGAGAGCACUAUAAAAUCAAAAACCAAUGAAAUGGUUUCCAGAACACAGAACUAUUAAGCUUAAGAAAAGGACAGAAGGAACUGAAGAGAGAGGAACUGUUUUGGAGCAUCACACUUCCACCUCAGAAGAAAUAAGGAAGGAAGGAGGAGGGUGUUCCCACGGCUCUUCAACCAGGCCGGCUCUUCAGCCUACAUCCCCAUCUCAUCAAGUAAAAGGGAUUUUUCAACUGGACCAACCAGAUGGUUUAACAGUGCACUCCCACACCAUUCAACUACGCAAGGGAGAUACACUUAACAUAUGCAGUCGUAUAACACCUACUAACAUUUUCAAACAUUAAACCUUUAAAAAAGAGUUCUAAAGAAAUAGAAGCUUGAAGUAUCAUCUCUCAAGUAUAUAGACACUACUUCAUGGUGUGGUAAUAUAUGCAUAUAGAAGCUAGUAAACACCUCCAGGAGAUGCAAAAGGAAUUAGAACUGCCACAAGGUGCAAGCAAAACCUUGAGGUAAUCAAUCUGCAUCCCAUUUUGGAUGAGAAUAUUUGCAACUUUGAAGGUUAUUUUAAGGACAGCAGCAGAAGAAUUAUGGCAGCUCUUCACGGAAAAAAAAAUGGCAACAAUAAAAUCAGCAACUCCUGCCAAAUAAAUGGGCAUAAAAAAGAAAUCAUAGACUGCUGGCAAUGGUGGGGAAAAAGUUAUAAAAAUUGUCUCUGCACCAUCUUCCUUUUGUCCUCUAAAAUAUUCACAUUAGCAAAAGUAUAUAACAGCUGAUGAAGAAAUACUGAUAAUUUGUCUUUAGGCUAACAUCUGCCACAAGACAAAUAUGGUGCCUGCCCCCAUGGAGCUCAUAUUCGAAUGGAGAAAAUGUCAACAAGUAUCCCACGGAGUGAACACUUCAAAAGGAGAAGCACAGGUGAGAAAAUCGAAUUUGGACACCGUUGAGGAGACUAUUGCAGUCAUCCAAGCUCAAGAUGGUGGAGCUUCAUCCUUGAGAAUAACCAAUGGGGAUAGAUUUAAGAGACACUUAGAGUCUGCAGCCAACAGGGCUGAAUGAGCAGAGAGUUAUGAUUCAGAAGAUCAUCUAAAAUUGAACAGCUGCCACUACUGGCAAUAAGUCUACUGCCAUUUGGUAGAUAACCUUCUUAUCACACAGAAAAAUAUCAGUACAGACAAAUAGACCGCAAAGAAAAUGAGACCAUCAGCAAAGAAGAUAAAGAAGUUUGUACAAAGCAACUUUUUAUAAAUGGAUGGCUGUCAGGCAAAAAUAAAUUUCCUGUGGACAAGACCAAGAGCAAGGCAAGAGGAAAAUAAACAUGUUUAAACUA